ensembl:processed_transcript
GGCGCCUACCGGAUCUGUAAGGAUGGGGCUACUCGGGUUGCCUCUGCUGUGGUUAGGAUCUAAGGCACCGCGCUAUUGUAAAGGGACCGGCUGGGACGGACGGUGAGUUCCUAUCGUCAAAACUCUCUGGUAGGUAGUGGUGAUUGCGUAGACAUGGUCUCUGUGCUGGUGGGAUACAGCUGCCUGGGUGCAGCGGGCUGCCGAUGAGGCCAGAAAGGAAAGGAGUUUGAGGAAAUGAAGACCAGUUGCUGUAGAGGAGGUUUCUCCCCGGUGACAUUUCUGACAAGGAUGCGUGGGGCAGAAGGAACAGCAAGGCGUUCAGGCUCGCUGGGAGGAGAAGAGGCACGCUAGUCUGGACCGGGGUCAUGUCAGUAUCUUCUUUGCAAGGACGUGGAGGUUCCGGUCUUUGCACGAGGCUAAAGAGUAGCGCCCGCCGUAGUGCCCGGCCUCCCGACUUUGCCUAGCACAUUCUUUUGUUUGUUUUGAGACUGGGUUUCUCUGUGUAGCCCUGGCUGUCCUGGAACUCACUCUGUAGAUCAGGCUGGCCUUGAACUCAGAAAUCCACCUGCCUCUGCCUCCCGAGUGCUGGGAUUAAAGACAAGAGCCGCCGCCCGACUUGCCUAGCACAUUCUCGCUCCGUGAUUAUUUGCGGAAGAAAGGGAUAUGCACACAGUCCCUGCGGUUAUCUAAGUAGAUUUGAGGCAGGAACGAAGGAACUGGGUGUGUUCUGUGGGGCAGUCAGGAAGAGGAGCCUGCUUCUGAAGUCUGCUCUCCCGAGGCAUUCAUUUUUGGGGGUGGGGUUAGCAGGUCUAGACAGUUUGGUCUGGUACCCUUGUUGCAUUUAAGAUUAUUUGAUAUGUAGGAUGUUUGGGGUAAGCUGGUUUUCCCGCAUUGCUGUCGUGUCUGCUGUGGUCAGACAUGAGUGGUAAGUGGAUGCGAGCUGUUCUCUGGUGGAACAGAACUCAGAAUGAAAACAAACAAACAAAUAAUGACCCUCACUUACAUCGUUCAGUCUGGGUUAUUCACACAAGAAAGGCUAAGAACCAGUCGCUUUCUAAGGAGCUAGACGUCCUUGUAGUCUUAAUCUGGUGCUGGAAGCAUGGAGGUCACUGGUCUUCAGCACCAGUAGGAAGGCUGAAGAAGCUGGGUCCUGAUGUCAGUGAAAGAUGGCAGCACAAAGGUAGAUGGACUUGUGAGAGAAAUCUCGGACUGCCUACAAAGGCACCGGAAAGUGCUGCUCAGGUUCAGGUUCACAUUAACAGCACCACAAGUCUCACUGGUGUGCCCAGAGGCACGCCUCUUGGUUAAUUCUGAAUUCAAUCAAGUUGACAACCAAGAUUAACCAUCUCAGUGGGUCAGAAGAGCAGUGUGGUCCAGGGACUUCAGCCGGUUCUCGUAGAGAAAGGGCCCUGUGCUGAGGUAGUAAUGGUCACACAGGGAGCAUGUACCAUUCUUUGAAGAUUAAUGGUGUCUGUGAUUAGAGAGGCUAAUAGAGUUUUUGGUCCAGAACAGCACGGACACCCUAGAAACCCUAGAAAUCUGGGGUCACCGCAGAUGGCUGGUAGGGUGAGGACAUAAGAAGCUGGGCUAACAGCUUCUCCCCUGCUUUCCCCUAAUGGUCAAAGUAAUUUAAUUUGGCACGUAUGUAAGUAUGUAAUUUAAUUUGGCAGGUAUGUAAGUUUUAACAAAUUAAAUCUAAAAGCAUGAUUU